ACAAAGUGAAAGGAACUUUUUGUUUCACUCUUCUACUUGCCGUUCUUGCUUGAACACGUUUGUGUCGCAUUUAAUUGUUAUGUUUGUCCGAGAUUAUGUUCCUAUGAGGCUUUUGGGCUUUUUUUCCCGGGUUUACUGACCGGAACUCAGUUUUAUUUUCCUAUUACAAACAGCUUUUAGCAACAAUAUAUAAAAAACUAUAAAAAACAUGUGAAAUGAAGACGUCAGCAGCUUGUUGUUUCGGGGGAAUUAUUCUGUGCAUCGGGCUUUCAUUGAGAGCAACAGGGUCGUCUCAGAUUCAACUUGUCGGUUCAGCUGAUCCAGUCGUUGCCUUGGCUGGUGACGACGUCAUACUACCAUGUUACCUGGAACCCAACGUCAGUGCUGUGGACAUGAUGGUGGAGUGGACAAGAUCUGACCUGAAAACUCAAAGGGUCCAUCUUUACCGUGAAGGUCGAGACUCCAACGGUGAACAGCUUCCGUCCUACAGGGGAAGAACAACACUGUUUAAAGAAGAACUGAAGAACAGCAAUGUCUCCUUAAAACUGACCGGAGUUACUCUCUCUGAUGCUGGAGACUACAAGUGCUUCAUUCCAAUACUGACUAGGGAAACAACCAUUCCACUCAUAGUUGGUGCUGUAUCUCAGCCAGUGAUCUCUAUUAAUGGAACCAAAGACUGGGGGGUGGUCCUGAAGUGUGACACCGGAGGCUGGUACCCACAGCCUGAGCUUGAGUGGUUGGACAGUCAUGGAAACGUCCUCUCUGCUACUGAACCCACUGAGACAAGCAACUCAACAGAGACCGAGAUUAACCCUGAGGGUCGCUACACCGUGAGACGAUAUGUCACCAUCCGGAACACUGACAACAACAGGUUCACCUGUAGAGUUGUACAGCCGCAGAUCAACCAGACAAGGGAGACACAGAUUCAUGUCCCAGACGAUAUGUUUCCUAGCGUGUGGUGGAUUGUUGGUAUAAUAAUACCAGCUGUAGCAGCCAUUGUAGCUGUUGUUGUGCUGUUCUACUUUCGCAGAAAACAACGUCAUAAACUCAAGAAAGAAGUGAAAAAAAAUCUAGAUCUUCAGACUAAGCUGGAUACAGAGGAGCGCAUUAGACAGCAUGUAGAGGAGAAGGUGGUCGGGUUUUUGGAUGCGCGCAGGCCGAAGCUCGUUGACAAUGUUACCAAGGUGAUGCCAUUAGCAGACGCUCUGAGGCCCAUGAUCCAACAACAGGAUUACUCUGAUAUCUGUGCUGCUGGGACCAACGUGGAGAAGAUGAGGGUUCUGUUCACGGCCGUAGAUUCAGGCGGGGAAAAGGUGAAAUCAGCUUUUUACAAGAGUCUGAUGAAAGAAGAACCUGAUUUAGUCCUAGACAUACUGAAAGAAGAACCUGAUCGAGUCAUAAACCUACUGGGUGAAGAGCUGGAUAUAUAUCCAAAAACAGAUGUUGUUGAUGAUGAUCCACCUGAUGAGUCUGGGAGUAACAGAGUUGAAAUGAUAGAGAUGCAACCUUUACUGGGUCCUGGAUCAGAGACGGAGAGAGGAGGAAGACAGGCUGUUGAUGCUCUAGAAGACCAGGAGAGAGAGGAGGGAAGACAGGCUGUUGAUGCUCUAGAAGAUCAGGAGAGAGAGGAGGGAAGACAGGCUGUUGAUGCUCUAGAAGACCAGGAGAGAGAGGAGGGAAGACAGGCUGUUGAUGCUCUAGAAGAUCAGGAGAGAGAGGAGGGAAGACAGGCUGUUGAUGCUCUAGAAGAUCAGAAGAGAGAGGAGGAAAGACAGGCUGUUGAUGCUCUAGAAGAUCAGGAGAGAGAGGAGGGAAGACAGGCUGUUGAUGCUCUAGAAGAUCAGGAGAGAGAGGAGGGAAGACAGGCUGUUGAUGCUCUAGAAGAUCAGGAGAGAGAGGAGGAAAGACAGGCUGUUGAUGCUCUAGAAGACCAGGAGAGAGAGGAGGGAAGACAGGCUGUUGACGCUCUAGAAGACCAGGAGAGAGGAGGAGGAAGACAGGCUGUUUAUGCUCUAGAAGACCAGGAGAGAGAGGAGGGAAGACAGGAUGUUGAUGCUCUAGAAGAUCAGGAGAGAGGAGGGAAGACAGGAUGUUGAUGCUCUAGAAGAUCAGGAGAGAGAGGAGGGAAGACAGGCUGUUGAUGCUCUAGUAGACCAGGAGAGAGAGGAGGGAAGACAGGCUGUUGAUGCUCUAGAAGACCAGGAGAGAGAGGAGGAAGACAGGCUGUUGAUGCUCUAGAAGACCAGGAGAGAGAGGAGGGAAGACAGGCUGUUGAUGCUCUAGAAGAUCAGGAGAGAGGAGGGAAGACAGGCUGUUGAUGCUCUAGAAGAUCAUGCUCUAUAGUAUAGCAGGAAGAGACACGGGGGCAUUAUGAAACGUUAUAGUAUAGCAGGAAGAGACACGGGGGCAUUAUGAAACGUUAUAGUAUAGCAGGAAGGUCGAUAGAGACACGGGGGCAUUAUGAAACGUUAUAGUAUAGCAGGAAGGUAGAUAGAGACACGGGGGCAUUAUGAAACGUUAUAGUAUAGCAGGAAGAGACACGGGGGCAUUAUGAAACAUUAUAGUAUAGCAGGAAGGUAGAUAGAGACACGGGGGCAUUAUGAAACGUUAUAGUAUAGCAGGAAGGUAGAUAGAGACACGGGGACAUUAUGAAACGUUAUAGUAUAGCAGGAAGAGACACGGGGGCAUUAUGAAACGUUAUAGUAUAGCAGGAAGAGACACGGGGGCAUUAUGAAACGUUAUAGUAUAGCAGGAAGAGACACGGGGGCAUUAUGAAACGUUAUAGUAUAGCAGGAAGAGACACGGGGGCAUUAUGAAACGUUAUAGUAUAGCAGGAAGAGACACGGGGCAUUAUGAAACGUUAUAGUAUAGCAGGAAGGUAGAUAGGGACACGGGGGCAUUAAAUGUUUGGAGGCUGCAUCCAGGCUGUAAAGCAGGAAGGUAGAAAGAGACAUCUUGGCAAAUCCAGUCCCACUACUUUGUUUCCAUUUCAAUCAGGGACCGAUUUAGACCUAUCACAACAACGUGGGUUAAUUAUCAGGUUGAACAGAAAUCCAGCCGGACUCAUUUGUAUUUAUUUUUAUUUAACCUUUAUUUAACCUGGGUUAGAGUUGAAUACUACAGCAGUAGUCUAUAUAUAUAUAGCGUGUCAGUGAUUGGACACCAAGUUGAUUGACAAACUGAUUAGUUAAGACUCUGGAAUCCGUUUUCAGUACAGUAAUGUACAAUGUUUAGUUUGUCAGACUGUUUACUGGGCCAUGUUUGUAUCAUGUGGAUGUUGUUUAGUUUGUCAGACUGUUUAUAUCAUGUGGAUGUUGUUUAGUUUGUCAGACUGUCUACUGGAUCAUGUUUGUAUCAUGUGGAUGUUGUUUAGUUUGUCAGACUGUUUACUGGACCAUGUUUGUAUCAUGUGGAUGUUGUUUAGUUUGUUAAUGAAUACACUUGAAUAAAAAUGCUAUACAUAUUUCAGGAUUAAAAAAACUUGUGCUAAAUGACUGUAUU